GCUUGUGCAGAUCUAAAUAAUUUUUAAGAACUAUAAAAAUUAUAAAAAUGCUUAGUCUUUUUCUUUCAAAAGGUUUGAUUAUGCAAAAAACAAAAACAAAAAACAUAAUCCUAAAUAUGAUUUUCUAGAACUUAACAUGUAAAACAUGCUCGAAGAAAUUCUAAAACAUGCUUAAUAAAUGCGAUUAAAACUAGCAUGUUCAUGUAAACACAAUUAAUAAAUAAAUAUCAGAUAUGCUAUAACUGCGAUAUCUAGCGCAAAGACAUACACUACAUGCUCUUGCAUAAUCAAUUAAAAUCACAACAUGCUAAAAACAAUAAAAGAAAUCAAAUAAAUAAUUGCUCUUCGUGGCCGAUGCACCUCUUUCUGCGGCAUUGCUGCCCCCACUGUGGCCUCUCG
rnacentral:lncRNA from 1 species